CAGCAGCCGCGGGAAUACAGAGGGUGCGAGCGUUAAUCGGAUUUACUGGGCGUAAAGCGUGCGUAGGCGGCUUCUUAAGUCGGAUGUAAAAUCCCUGAGCUUAACUUAGGAAUUGCAUUCGAUACUGGGAAGCUAGAGUAUGGGAGAGGAUGGUAGAAUUCCAGGUGUAGCGGUGAAAUGCGUAGAGAUCUGGAGGAAUACCGAUGGCGAAGGCAGCCAUCUGGCCUAAUACUGACGCUGAGGUACGAAAGCAUGGGGAGCAAACAGGAUUAGAUACCCCAGUAGUCCCUGUCUCUUAUAC
rnacentral:rRNA from 1 species